rnacentral:rRNA from 1 species
UCCGAGUCAGACUCACUCAGUCACCAAAACGGGAUAAAACAACUCUGUAUAUGGGUCAGCAAUUUAGGUUGGGGUGACCUCGGAGAACAAAACAACCUCCGAGUGAUACAAAUCUAGACAAACUAGUCGAAAUAAAUUAUCAUUAAUUGAUCCAAAAAUCUUUGAUCAACGGAACA